rnacentral:lncRNA from 1 species
GAGGAAUAAAUGUUCCAGGGGGUAACGGCAUGUCCAGGAAUUCACCUUGAUAUUCGGCUAACCAGUUGCAAUGCACCCACUCUGUGACAGUGGAGUUCUUACGCUGCAUAUGUAGUUUAGUUCCAACAUCAUUAAACCUUAAAGCCAUAAAAUCAGCCAAUUCUCCAACCUGAUUACUGACAAAUUUAAUUUCCUGACUCAACUGACAAGAAUUCCUAUUAAGUCGACGUUGCAUCAACUCAGCCAAGGCAGUUGUUUGCACCUCAAAACCAGCUUGUAAAUCAAUAAACUCAUCUUCAAUGGUAUGAUAGAGUUUAUUGAUUUUAGGUGCACCCAAUGACAACUUACCUUUUUCCAAAACAGAUAUACGGUUAUGUAGGGCAGAUAUAUCAACUUGCAUUUUCUCUUGAUUAGUAAGAAUUACUUUCAACAAAUCAACAACUUCAGGAGAGGAUUGAGUGGGGGGCUGAACAGGAGAUGAGGGAAUGGAAAUCGGAGGAGCAUGAUUUUCAGGAGUGACACGAACAAACAUACCAUCAAGUAAAAUGAUACGUGACAUUUUCAGGGACCCAACACUGAUGGAAUCAGUAAUCGAAACAGAAUUUUCAUUUUCAAAAGAGAUUUUAAAAUGUUUAAACAAAGAAGUGAGAGUAACACUGUAAGGCAAAUAUGUCUUUGUUUUUUGCAAACAAGUGGUCAUAUGAUGAAGCAUCAUUUGAGACAAAUUAAAAGACACACCUCUUAAAAUCAUAGCAACAACUAUCAAAUCUUGAUAGGUAAAAUCUGCCCCUUCACCUAAACGAGGCAACAAAUUGUAUCUAACAAGUUGAUGGACGACACAAGAAAUAGGAGAAACAUCAACAGUUUUUGGAGUAGACACAUCACUUAACACAGAAUUGUUCAUAACAAUUUGUAACUGUUCCAGAGGAGUAAAAGGAAAAUGAACAACACCUUUCUUUGUAAAAGGACACACACCAAAAAAUGGGAUAUUUAAAAUACUACCAAAAUCAAUGACUGUAAAAUAUAAAAACUUCCCACUGACAAAACUUGUAUAAAAAUCCCCAUGACACUCUAGAUUUGUAUAAAAUUGUUGAACAAGUCUAGGAUAUGCCACAGAUGGAGGAAAAAGCAUGGACGAAAAACCACAAGACUCAAACAGUGGUCUCAAAGGAGAUUGUUGAAAAUAGAUCUGAUCAACCGACUUUUCAUAGACAAAUUGUUUGGAAAAAAUGACUGUUUUAAAACGUACCUCAUACGCAUUACUUCGAAAGAAGUUGUCAGGAAGAUCAGAUGAAAGAUUAGGGUUUACCAAAAUUGGAGGAGGGCUAACCUCUGGCUUAAAGGAUGGAGUCGAUGUCUGAUGUCGCCGAGAGGGUCCAGUAGAUUUAGGCAGAGAGGGAGUGAAGGUUGACUCAUCAGAAGAUGAAGAGUCCACGUACUCUGUUUC